UCCUACGGGAGGCAGCAGUAAGGAAUACUCCACAAUGAGCGAAAGCUUGAUGGAGCGACACAGAGUGCAGGAUGAAGUCUUUAGGGAUGUAAACUGCUGUUGUAAGGGAAGAAAAAACUAGAUAGGAAAUGAUUUAGUCUUGACGGUACCUUAUUAGAAAGUGACGGCAAACUAUGUGCCAGCAGCCGCGGUAAUACAUAGGUCGCAAGCGUUAUCCGGAAUUAUUGGGCGUAAAGCGUCCGCAGGUUUUUUGUUAAGUUUAAGGUUAAAUGCUAAAGCUCAACUUUAGUUCGCUUUAGAUACUGACAAAAUAGAAUUAUGAAGAGGUUAGCGGAAUUCCUAGUGGAGCGGUGGAAUGCGUAGAUAUUAGGAAGAACACCAAUAGGCGAAGGCAGCUAACUGGUCAUAUAUUGACACUAAUGGACGAAAGCGUGGGGAGCAAACAGGAUUAGAUACCCUGGUAGUCC
rnacentral:rRNA from 1 species